rnacentral:rRNA from 1 species
UACGUAGGGUGCGAGCGUUAAUCGGAAUUACUGGGCGUAAAGCGUGCGUAGGCGGUUGGCAAAGUCAGCUGUGAAAGCCCCGGGCUUAACCUGGGAAUGGCGGUUGAAACUAGUCGACUAGAAUCUGGCAGAGGGGGGUGGAAUUCCACGUGUAGCAGUGAAAUGCGUAGAGAUGUGGAGGAACACCGAUGGCGAAGGCAGCCCCCUGGGCUAACACUGACGCUCAUGCACGAAAGCGUGGGGAGCAAACGGG